rnacentral:lncRNA from 1 species
UGGAAAGAAGUGUCCUUAACAAACACCUGAGGUUGGGGAGGAGAGAGCUGACGGGGAUGGCAGUGAAAAAGAGAAACAGUUGGCUGGGACAUGGACCUGAAGGUCCUGAACCAGAAUGGCAGGAGGAGAGAGCCUCACUUCUGCAUCAACCUCCUUUUGUAUAAGGGGACAGAGAUUAGGAAUCUAGCUCAUCUGAGGACAGGUGCCUCUUCGUUGGAGGUAUCUGGGCCACAUCUGAUCUCAGGACCAGAACUUGAUUUCUGUAUUUAGGGGACUUCCCGAGGUUUGUUAUGAUACACUGAGAGACAUAUCACCGUGCCUCCUCAAGGAUGUGAGGCAAGGUCACCUUACAACCCGCUUACACCUAGGCUUCCAAGCCACAACUUCUUCACUGUCCUAAGUGGUGGUGCUUUAGAACUGCUCUUGGCAAUAGGAUAUCAUCUUGAUAUUGGAUAUGCCAUUGUGUUGGCAGACAGCAACACUUUAAGGAACCCUGCUUGGCCUAGAUGAACUUGCAAAGCUGGUGGGUUCCUGAGUCGAGCUGCCACGAGCAGAGUUCGUCAAGGAAGGAGGCUCUGGAUGUCAGGUCACCCUCCAAUUCCUUGGCUUAUCCUCUGAUACUUUGGUAGGACAUUGGUGGACCAACGUCACGCAGUCCAUCCACCAACUGUGUUGUUCACCGCUCCCCGCGAAGGUUAGGCUCAUGACCCCCAUAUUCGGUCAGGGACCAAAGAGUUGCCGUGGGAAUCCACUUGGUGUGGUUUGCUUGGAUACCACACUAUUCAUUGAAUACUUAUAUUUACAAGUUUUAGCGGUUAUGGGUUCAUUGUUAUAAUAUUUCCAUCAAACAUACAUUAACAGGAAAUAAUUACUUGUGAAUUGAAGCCAAAAAUUUACUGUUGUUAUCUUUACUUUCCUUCUCCAUCAUUGUCUAUUUUCUUUUUUGUCGAUCUUAGAUGCUAAGGCAGUUUCUGCAGGUAUAUUGAAUUUUUUUGAUGAAUGUCAGUCCCUAUGGUAAUAGCUCUCUUUGGCAGCCUCUUCCUGUCGCCAAUGAUGGUUAAACCAUCCCGAGGCUGAAAUAAAUUGGUUUAGUCUACUACAGAAUCCGCAGUGGCAGUAGUGCAGUGGAUUAUUGGUAAUUUUCAUCUCAACUGAAAGAAGACCAACUUCGUCAGGUUAAAAUAAUUAGUUCCUAUUUGUAGUUAUAGAAUACACUUGGCUCAUUCACCUCAUUAAUUCUUUGGUGGCCAAAUCUAGCUCUCUUUGUGGAUUGGGGUUAUGUUCGUCAAAUUGUCUGCAAUUAAAUGUUUUUGGGCGCAACACCUUCAUAAUGUUAUUUUCAGAGUUUUUUUUUAAAAAUUAAAAGCUUGAUUGUCCUUCCAUUAAACUGUCGUUUUUUAGAAUAAAAAAUAAUAAAUAAGGCAUCAUUCACACAUGCGCGGCACACAUUCAAAAACGACUACUUCAAAAAGGCUUGGAUGUUCAAUGCACUUGUGAAUUGUAUGUUAAUUUUAUUCAGAUGUAUAGCGAAACCAAAAACCAGGGAAAAUUAACACAUUUAACAACGUUUAACGUCAGUAGAAUCUUUUUACUUUUUGUUUCUAAUACGCAAGUUCAUUGCAUGAUAUCCAUGCGAUAUCUUCAGUUGUGCUUUGGAUUUAUUAGACAAUAGGAUGUGCCUUUAUAUAAACUAAUGCAUGGCAGUUUUUGUGAAUUGGCAUAAUGUUCUAAUGCCCGCCAUGUUUGCAUGUGAAUAAGAAACAACGGUUUUGUUUUCCAUUGAUUUCACAAAGUUAUUUUUUAAGUAAUGUAACUGUCCUUACUGACAAGAAUUAUAGGAUUGGUGAUUUACUGAUAUGGAUAUACGGCAACGACCAGCCAGCAGGAUGAGUGGACCUUAGAGUCCCCCCCCCCCCUUCUCAGGGGAAGUUAGAAGUUUUUUUGUUGAGUAAUCUACAUAUCACAUGAAAGAAGACCAGCUUUCGUCAGUAACAAUAAUAAUUCCUACUUUAUAGUUAUAAAUCCAAUUGGUGUUUUUUGUUCGAUGAUUAGCUUUGGAAUUAUGUUAUUAAAUAUGUUUUCGUUUACUUUCUCAUUUUGUUGUUUCUGAAUGCGUGAAGUGCUGAACUAUUUAGGUUAUAAAAUAGUUGUCCGGAUCAAUUUUUCAGUCAGGGACUGGGGGUGAGUUUGGCACACGGGGGCUUCCAAACUUAAACUCAGAGCCUUGGUUUCAAAAUUUUAAAGUUGCUUUGUAUUGGAGAUCCAUACUAAUUUACUGCUGCAGUUUUUUUUAAAAAAAUAAAAAUCCUUGCAUAUUUUACAACGUUUACACUAUUAACCAGAUUCAGUACGAAAUAUUUUUUACUUUUUUUCUAUACAGGCAAGUUCAUUGCAGGAUAAUGAAAGACUUUUUCUGCAAGCUCUUAAUUAGUAUUUUGCAUUUUGUUGAUUUACAUAUUUGAAAUGUUCGAUGGAUAAAAAACUGAAACGCUCCGCUUUU